rnacentral:rRNA from 1 species
CCUACGGGAGGCAGCAGUAAGGAAUAUUGGUCAAUGGACGCAAGUCUGAACCAGCCAUGCCGCGUGAAGGAUGAAUGCCCUCUGGGUUGUAAACUUCUUUUAUAGGGGACGAAAAAGGGUCUUUUUAGAUCAACUGACGGUACCCUAGGAAUAAGCACCGGCUAACUCCGUGCCAGCAGCCGCGGUAAUACGGAGGGUGCAAGCGUUAUCCGGAUUUACUGGGUUUAAAGGGUGCGUAGGUGGGUUGGUAAGUCAGCGGUGAAAUCUUCGAGCUUAACUCGGAAACUGCCAUUGAUACUAUCAGCCUUGAAUAUCCUGGAGGUGAGCGGAAUAUGUCAUGUAGCGGUGAAAUGCUUAGAUAUGACAUAGAACACCAAUUGCGAAGGCAGCUCACUACGGGAUUAUUGACACUGAGGCACGAAAGCGUGGGGAUCAAACAGGAUUAGAUACCCUGGUAGUCCACGCCCUAAACGAUGUACACUAGUUGUCGGUUACUUAUUGUACUUGGUACGCAGCUACGCGUGAGUAGCCGCCGUGGAGGUACGGUCGCGAAGUAAGUUAAACGUUAAAGUUAAGUAGUUAGGNGUGAGCGNGCGACGGACGACGACGAGGGAGGAGG